AACGCGAAGAACCUUACCUGGGCUUGAACAGCUACGGACCAAGGGUAGAAAUAUCCUCUUCCCGCAAGGGACCGUAGUAGAGGUGCUGCAUGGCUGUCGUCAGCUCGUGCCGUGAGGUGUUGGGUUAAGUCCCGCAACGAGCGCAACCCUUACUCGUAGUUGCUACCCGCAAGGGAGAACUCUACGAGGACUGCUCCGGAUAACGGAGAGGAAGGUGGGGAUGACGUCAAGUCAGCACGGCCUUUAUGUCCAGGGCUACACACGUGUUACAAUGCACGGUACAGACUGUUGCGAACCCGCGAGGGGGAGCUAAUCGGAUAAAACCGUGCUCAGUUCGGAUUGCAGUCUGCAACUCGGCUGCAUGAAGCUGGAAUCGCUAGUAAUGGCGUAUCAGAUCGACGCCGUGAAUACGUUCCCGGGCCUUGUA
rnacentral:rRNA from 1 species